CUCUUUGCCGCGUUCCUCCCCGGGGGCGCGGGGCGAACCCGGGAGCGCGCCCGUGCUCCAGUUGAGCGGACUCUUGCUGAACUGGGCCACGUGCGAUCGCUCGUGCUUUCGGAUGCAGAACGUGAAGCCGGUGCUGGGGCCUCAGCCCUUUCGACCGCCUUUUCGAGCUGCUGCUUGUGCUCGAUAAGAUUGACUUCCUCGCCCGUCUCGGCCCAGCCGCUGGAAUUUGCAGCGGCGGGGGUCGACGGGUCGUGUUGUCGCCAAGGAAUGCUACCUGGUUGAUCCUGCCAGUAGUCA
rnacentral:misc_RNA from 1 species